UUUUUUAAAGACAGCAUAGUGGCUUGAUAAGCCACUGGAAAAAUGGGAGCACGAAUACAACACCAACUGAGUUAAUUCUGUCAUGCCCAUCCUCCUGCUUCUGCAGCAAGGUGAACAACGGCAAAUGGCUAAGUCUGAAAUGUCAGGCGGAGGUGUUCUGUACCAGCACGCGUGACCUCGAAUGGUGGGUGUGGUCUGAAGAGGGUCGAGAUGGUGGGGUGCGGUGGGUGGCAGACGACUCACCUGCCCCUGGUCCCUCUCCUGCCCUCAUGCAGACUCGCUCUCGUCAUAGAGGCGCUUUCUGCAAACGUGGCGAGGGGAGCACAGGGCACAGCACAGUUUCGAAGAUGCUGAACUUCCAAGCUGCUCGCCACUGGUGGAGAACCUGAGGCCAGGGCCCUGUCUCCCAGCACCACCCGCAGCGGACCACACCACGCGGAAGCCUGAUUUAUCCCGGCAGCCCCACUUCCGGGUGCGCUGGGCCUUUUCCAGGCUCUCCUGCCGGCGGCCCGGGGAGGGUUUCAGUCUGCGUGCCCGGAACUGGAGCUGGGUGUGAAUCGUGAGGCGCCUGACACCUAGAAGGCACUGGGCUGAGGAGAGGAGGAGGAAAGAAAGUGGAGGCCAGGCGGCCGGGACGGGACGCGGUCUCUCCUGGGACCUCUGCCGCCCAGGUAGGAGAGGGUGCAGUACCAGCGGGGGGCGGUCGAGGUCCGGUGACGCGGUACGGGGCUUCCGCCUGCACACGCUGGCGCAGCUUGGCUCCUCGGGCCUGUGCCUUCAGCCCUCCUCGGAAUCCCGUUAGGACUGACGCGGACGAUUCGCUGUUCCCUCACUUCCCCUUGAGUUCAGAUCGCCGUGUCUGAAUUUGCCCUUCCCUCCUCAGAGCAUUAAAUCACAGUAUUAACUGCGUGCUUAUGCAUGGGCCCCGGGCUUCCUGCGCCGCUGUCCUCGGAAGGGCACACGGAGCUGUGGCCGACGGGCACCUGUACUCUUGUUCCCUAUUCUCCCAGGCGCCUCGGGCCACAGGGCAACCUCGCUGCUUUCCCCGUGCUGUUGCAGGACGAUCGCGUGCACAAGGAGGCGCCCUCGGCCGCCCGGGAACCCCAGGGCAGCCCGGGCCGCGGCGCCUCCGCAGUCUCCGUGUGCACUGGGGCUGCGGCCAGCAAGCGGCGGCGAACGUCCCGUGAGAACGGAAGAUGCUCGGUCGGGUUGGACCCGGCCUGGGCGCGAUGCCCCGGUUCCCUUCUGCCGCCACCGCCCCCCAACCCCGCCGCCGCCUGCGCGGCCUCGCCCGCCUCGCGGUCGCCAUGGCAACCUCCGCGUGCCGAGCUUUCUCCCGGUGUGAUCAGGCCCGGAACCGUCUGGAACCCGCAGUGCUGACCGUUUCCUGCCGGAAGGAAACGCUGCUGGCCGUCGGAUCUGGGUUCCCCGCCACCCUGCUGACUCCUUCGGCCUCGGGGGCUGUGGGGCUGCAAGCUCUCAGCCGGCCCGGCCCACGUCCUGCUAGCUGCGUCCUGGCUUCCCGCAGUCUCCAAACGUGAGUUUCCUCAUCUAUAAGAAUAUGUCAAGCAUCACAUGAAUUGAUCCAGUUGCCUCUUAAUAUCGGUGGCGGAUGAAUUCCAGAACUCCUAAUACCGAGCCCUGUGGACACCAAGUCCCUUUAAUAAGAUGGCAUAGCACUUACAUAUAACGUACAUAAUCCCCCCUAUACUUCAGAUCGCCUCUGGAUUACCUAUAAUAUCUAACACAGUGUAAAUGCUAUUAAAUACUUGUUAUAUUGUUUAAGGAAUAAUGACAAGAAAAUUUUUUUCACAUGUUCAGUAAAGAUGUAACUUUAAAAAUAUUUUAUUUACUCUUUGUUUGAAACCAUGGAUAUAGAACCCGCAGAUACAGUGCUUGCUAAGGUCUUAAAACAUACCUGGUACCUAGAAAAUGCUUAAUAAAUUAGUUAUUAUCACUUUUAUUGAAAACAAAUUAUUCACAUUUCUAUGCAACUCUCAUCUAAAUUUGUAGCUAC
rnacentral:lncRNA from 1 species